rnacentral:rRNA from 1 species
UACAGAGGUCUCAACCGUUGUUCGGAUUCAUUGGGCGUAAAGCGCACGUAGGCGGACUAUUAAGUCAGGGGUGAAAUCCCGGGGCUCAACCCCGGAACUGCCUUUGAUACUGGUAGUCUCGAGUCCGGAAGAGGUGAGUGGAAUUCCGAGUGUAGAGGUGAAAUUCGUAGAUAUUCGGAGGUACACCAGUGGCGAAGGCGGCUCACUGGUCCGGUACUGACGCUGAGGUGCGAAAGCGUGGGGAGCAAACAGG